CGGUCAUCUCUACGAAUAAAAAUGGCUUUUCAAUUACAAUUCUAGAUUUAUGCAGUCUUGAAGGGAAUCGACUUCACCUUCCCGCUAGCAU
rnacentral:misc_RNA from 1 species